rnacentral:rRNA from 1 species
GUUGACCUCGGAUCAGGUAGGACUACCCGCUGAACUUAAGCAUAUCAAUAAGCGGAGGAAAAGAAACCAACAGGGAUUGCCCCAGUAACGGCGAGUGAAGCGGCAACAGCUCAAAUUUGAAAUCUGGCCCCAGGCCCGAGUUGUAAUUUGCAGAGGAUGCUUUUGGCGCGGUGCCUUCCGAGUUCCCUGGAACGGGACGCCAUAGAGGGUGAGAGCCCCGUACGGUUGGACACCAAGCCUUUGUAAAGCUCCUUCGACGAGUCGAGUAGUUUGGGAAUGCUGCUCUAAAUGGGAGGUACAUUUCUUCUAAAGCUAAAUAUUGGCCAGAGACCGAUAGCGCACAAGUAGAGUGAUCGAAAGAUGAAAAGCACUUUGAAAAGAGGGUUAAACAGCACGUGAAAUUGUUAAAAGGGAAGCGCUUGUGACCAGACUUGCGUCCGGUGAAUCACCCAGCUCUCGCGGCUGGGGCACUUCGCCGGCACAGGCCAGCAUCAGCUUGCCGUCGGGGACAAAAGCUUCAGGAACGUGGCUCCUCUCGGGGAGUGUUAUAGCCUGUUGCAUAAUACCCUUCGGCGGGCUGAGGUACGCGCUCCGCAAGGAUGCUGCCAUAAUGGUCAUCAUGGCG